GAGUUUGAUCCUGGCUCAGGAUGAACGCUGGCGGCGCGCCUAACACAUGCAAGUCGAACGGCACCUAUCUUCGGAUAGAAGCGAGUGGCGAACGGCUGAGUAACACGUGGAGAACCUGCCCCCUCCCCCGGGAUAGCCGCCCGAAAGGACGGGUAAUACCGGAUACCCCGGGGUGCCGCAUGGCACCCCGGCUAAAGCCCCGACGGGAGGGGAUGGCUCCGCGGCCCAUCAGGUAGACGGCGGGGUGACGGCCCACCGUGCCGACAACGGGUAGCCGGGUUGAGAGACCGACCGGCCAGAUUGGGACUGAGACACGGCCCAGACUCCUACGGGAGGCAGCAGUGGGGAAUCUUGCGCAAUGGGGGGAACCCUGACGCAGCGACGCCGCGUGCGGGACGGAGGCCUUCGGGUCGUAAACCGCUUUCAGCAGGGAAGAGUCAAGACUGUACCUGCAGAAGAAGCCCCGGCUAACUACGUGCCAGCCGCCGCGGUAAUUC
rnacentral:rRNA from 1 species